rnacentral:misc_RNA from 1 species
UUAACUUAUUAUAAAAUAUUACUCAGACAACACAAAAAUCAAGAGUUUAGGGUUCUCUGGCAGGCGCGGACCAGCCGAAGCCAGUGGUCAAAGGACGGGCCUGCCAAAGCAACAAAGGUAAUGUAAACAAAGGGUGGGAGAUCUACCCAAAGGGCAAUUUCUCUGUAAUGAUCCUUCCGCAGGUUCACCUACGGAAA